GGUAUAACUUAGUGGCAGACGGGUGAGUAAUGUAUAGGAAUCUACCUAGUAGUACGGAAUAAUUGUUGGAAACGGCAACUAAUACCGUAUACGCCCUACGGGGGAAAAAUUUAUUGCUAUUAGAUGAGCCUAUAUUAGAUUAGCUAGUUGGUGGAGUAAUAGCCUACCAAGGCAAUGAUCUAUAGCUGAUCUGAGAGGAUGAUCAGCCACACUGGAACUGAGAUACGGUCCAGACUCCUACGGGAGGCAGCAGUGGGGAAUAUUGGACAAUGGGCGAAAGCCUGAUCCAGCUAUGCCGCAUGAGUGAAGAAGGCCUUUGGGUUGUAAAGCUCUUUUAGUGAGGAAGAUAAUGACGGUACUCACAGAAGAAGUCCUGGCUAACUCCGUGCCAGCAGCCGCGGUAAUACGGAGAGGGCUAGCGUUAUUCGGAAUUA
rnacentral:rRNA from 1 species